rnacentral:rRNA from 1 species
ACUCCUACGGGAGGCAGCAGUGGGGAAUUUUGGACAAUGGGGGCAACCCUGAUCCAGCCAUGCCGCGUGCAGGAUGAAGGCCUUCGGGUUGUAAACUGCUUUUGUACGGAACGAAAAGACUCUGGUUAAUACCUGGGGUCCAUGACGGUACCGUAAGAAUAAGCACCGGCUAACUUCGUGCCAGCAGCCGCGGUAAU